UUUUUUCUGAAAUAUUCGUGUAACCUCUAUUUUGAACCUACAACAUGUUUACGGGAGUUUUAUACUAGCUAUGGAAAUCAAGCCCAGAGUAAGACCUGAUGAGGCAGGGGAAGAUUGAAGUAUCUAUGCGAACACCCACCUAUCGAGAGGAUAGGUGUCAAAAUAAGGUGGACGGUAUUUCGGAUCUCAA
rnacentral:other from 1 species